GACGUAGGGCGCGAGCGUUGUCCGGAUUUAUUGGGCGUAAAGAGCUCGUAGGCGGCUUGUCGCGUCGUCCGUGAAAACCUGCAGCUCAACUGCAGGCUUGCGGUCGAUACGGGCAGGCUAGAGUUCGGUAGGGGAGACUGGAAUUCCUGGUGUAGCGGUGAAAUGCGUAGAGAUUGGAAAGAAUACCGAUGGCGAAGGCACUUUACUGGGCUAUUACUAACACUCAGAGACGAAAGCUAGGGUAGCAAAUGGG
rnacentral:rRNA from 1 species